rnacentral:rRNA from 1 species
UACGAGGGGCUAGCGUUGCUCGGAAUGACUGGGCGUAAAGGGCGCGUAGGCGGCGGACACAGUCAGAUGUGAAAUUCCCGGGCUCAACCUGGGGGCUGCAUUUGAUACGUGUUUGCUUGAGUGGGGAAGAGGGUCGUGGAAUUCCCAGUGUAGAGGUGAAAUUCGUAGAUAUCGGGAGGAACACCAGUGGCGAAGGCGGCGACCUGGGCAGAUACUGACACUGAGGUGCGAAAGCGUGGGGAGCAAACAGG